AUUGAACGCUGGCGGCAUGCUUUACACAUGCAAGUCGAACGGUAACAGGUUAAGCUGACGAGUGGCGAACGGGUGAGUAAUGCAUCGGAACGUGCCCGGUCGUGGGGGAUAACGCAGCGAAAGCUGCGCUAAUACCGCAUACGAUCUGAGGAUGAAAGCGGGGGACCGUAAGGCCUCGCGCGAUCGGAGCGGCCGAUGUCAGAUUAGGUAGUUGGUGGGGUAAAGGCUCACCAAGCCAAAGGUAUGUAGCUGGUCUGAGAGGACGACCAGCCAAACUGGGACUGAGACACGGCCCAGACUCCUACGGGAGGCAGCAGUGGGGAAUUUUGGACAAUGGGCGAAAGCCUGAUCCAGCAAUGCCGCGUGCAGGAAGAAGGCCUUCGGGUUGUAAACUGCUUUUGUACGGAGCGAAAAGGUCUCCUCUAAUACAGGGGGCUCAUGACGGUACCGUAAGAAUAAGCACCGGCUAACUACGUGCCAGCCGCCGCCGUAA
rnacentral:rRNA from 1 species